GAUUCAUUAUGUGCAAGAGUAUUGAAGACGAAAUAUUUUCCUAAUGGUAGUUUAUUACAGGCUACUUUAAAAAAUGGUGCCUCAUUUACCUGGCAGAGUAUUAUGAAGGGUUUGGAGACUUUCAAAUUGGGGUAUAUAUGGCGUAUUGGGUCAGGGGAGAAAGUGAACAUCUGGAGCGACCCCUGGGUUCCAAGCAGUGCAAAUAGAAUACUGAUUACGCCGCGAGGUCACACUGUUCUAACUACAGUUAAUGAUCUCAUAGACCCCCUAAGUCGAAACUAGGACGAGGAAUUGAUUAAAUCUAUCUUCAAUCCUGUCGAUGUUUGAAGGAUCCUAGAGAUUCCGCUUAAUUACUAUGCUUUUGAGGAUUUCAUAGCUUGGCACCCGGACCGAAGAGGUAUUUUCUCAGUACGUUCAGCUUACCACACUCAAUGGAUUCGGACUUUUAGGGCACAUGCAAAUGCACUAACGCAACCAGGGAGGUCCAGCACACCAGCGGUUUGGAGUAUGCUGUGGAAGCUUCGAAUUCCAUGUAAAGUGCAAAUUUUCUGCUGGCGGGCACUACAUGGGAUCUUACCCCUAAAGUCAAUACUUACUAAUAGGCAUGUUGGUACAGCUGGUGCUUACCCUAUAUGCCACAAUGCGGCUGAAGAUGUGAGGCACCUGUUAUUUGAUUGUUCCCAUGCUACAGAGAUGUGGUCACGGCUAGGAAUAUUGGAUAUUAUCAAUGAAGCGAAAAUGGUUGAUCGUUCUGGGUCAAUCAUGUUGGAAAUAUGCCCUAGAGGCAAUAAUAAAUGGUUAUUAUUAUAUUUCUUUGUUCAUGAUAAUCGUCUAUUAUUCAUGCUAUAA
rnacentral:rRNA from 1 species